UGAAGGUUAAUAAGUAUUAGAAAUACUUAGAUAUGUGAGAUAUCUUGAAACAUAGAAUCGCUCUUGGAUACAUAGUGAUAUGAUGCACCAGUUAAUGUAUCCGAGCUGUGCCAGAAUCUGGAGUGAGACGAUGCUUCAACUGAAGAGACAGGGUGCAGACUGAUAUUACCUGCUCCUUUAAGUGAAGAAUGUAGCUCUAGAUGAUAGUGACAGAUAAUUGAGAGUGGGUGCAGGAGGGAGGAGUGGAUUUGAUUCUACGUAUGUGGUAUGCGCCUACUGUUCAGGAGAAUCCACGUCCUCUCAGAUAACAUUAUGGGUCUGAAUAUGUGAGUUCCAUUUAUGUGCUUGCACCAUGAUGUGCAGGAAACCAGGGCAGUCAGUGUAUGGAAGAGUGGUAAUAUAACUCCAAGAUUAUGUACAGUUCCCUACACCUCCAGUGUUACUUACCAUAAGUAAACCAGACCAGCCUUCAGGAAUACUAAGCACUGUGAAGUAUAGAAUUCUGUAAGUUUGAGGUCCUUGGGGAAUUUUGAAGAGUUGGAUGUGUGCAAAAUGUUUGUGAUAGCAUGAACCUGCAGUGUCUUAGUCAUUGAUGUUAUGCCCCAGUUGUUAUAACCUCAGGUAACUGAACUAGGCCCUUCCCUGUCCGAAUGCACAGUGAUAUGCAUCAUGAACACAGUGUGACAGGUUUUAUCUCCAUCAUGCAGUAUUAUGUUAUCGUAGGAAAAUAAAAGUUAUGUUGGUGUGGGCUUCUGUGGAAUAGUAUUCAUACCAUGUAAACGAAUUUCCCUUGAAUCCACUGGUACUAAUUGUAUGAUUAAUGUUAUUAUUUGUGCCCUGUUAGUGAAACAUGUAGGUUGUACAGUUGUGUUUCUUGUGUUAUCGCACAAUUUGGAGGGUGAUGACAGUUACCAAGUAGUGUGUAGUGUUUGACUGGAUUUCUUUAGACUUGAAUGAGUUUGAUGGUUAUGUACAGUAGAUUAUUCUAGUGAGAGGAACAAAGUAAGUAUUCAGUGGCAGGUUGAGAUGUGAGGUUAACCGGAGUUUGUUGGACAGAUUACCCUCGUCUUGAUUAAUGUUUAUGAAGCAUGUCAUUGAGCAUUUUAUCAUCCCACAACUGUGCAGAAGUAAUGAUGGAAUUUAGUUUAAUGGAAUGAAUUUAGACAUCAGAUAUUAAUAUUGUCCCCUGAUAUUACUGGAAAUGCACUCGUAUCAUUUGCUAGUAUUUUCAUUCUGUUCUACUAGUGUGAAGAUUAUAUUGCUCUUAAUGAUUAUGUGUGCUUAUACAUAACAUCUGUGAAUGCAGUUGUGCUGAGUUUUUGUUUAUAGUAGAGACAUGAUUACUGCUUGUUGUGGGCCUAAACCUUAGCAAUGGCAUUAAGUGACUGAUUGAAUGUUAAGAAGCAGUGUUGCGGCAGCAGAAUGUGAAGGUUGAAAGUCACAGUCACAGAGAUGUUCAUUAGAUGUGAUUUAUAGCCAGUUGAAUCGAGCUGUGAUGCAAAUAUCUGCUUAUUGAUACCUCCCGUUUUAAAUGUUAUUCAGCCAUGAGGUGUUCCAUCUUGCAAGGAGGUUUCCCCACAGAAAAUUUGGUAUGAAUGUUAUGUGCCCUGUAAUGCUUCCUACUUGUGAGGCAAUUGAAGUGUCAGAAAUUCUGGGUGAUAUACUGUAUUUAUAGUUAGUUCAGUGUCCUGAAUUGCUGAGAUGUGAUCCUUCUUAGGUGUAAAUAUCUUCCUGAUAAUUUUGUUUGUCUUGUGAUGAGUAGGUAAUAAAUAUGUGACACCAUGGAGUUAGGUGUUGUGAUGAAUGAGAAAUAUUAAUGUCUGUGAACCAAGUUAUAAUGGUUUCUGUUAUGGAGCAUGGUGUUUUCAUACUGUUAGCUUUGGGUGUUUGAGUUGCAUUGCACAUAAUUCUUUAAUCAUAAGAGCUCCAAGGACCCUAUUAGUGAAGUCGAAGUACUAGUUUUCUAGUAUCCAGUGCCGUGGUGCAUGAAUCACAGAGUUCCAUGUACCCUAACAUUAAGGAUGUGGCCUCACACACAUUCUUGCACUAAGUAUGAUAACUCGUAGAAUUGAUUCCACUUCAGUUGUUUUCUUUUGAUGUCAGUGUCAGGCUCUUUGUGAAUAUGAGUGUUUCACAUUCAUAAGGCUGACCAUACUACUUCAGUUAUAUGAUACUUAUUAAUGUGAUUGAUAAAAUUCACAGUACGUGAAUUUGUUUAUUGUAAAUUAUAAUUUUAAUUUCCAAUGGAUGCAUCCUGUAGUGUUAAAUAUAUAAAUUUCUUUAUUAAAAUCCAUCACAGUAACACAACAAAACCGUUGAUGUUUAACAGUACUUUGGUACAUGUUUUGGGUUUUUAGAGAGCCUUUAUCAGGGAAAUACACAAUUAACACGUUCCAAAGCUAUUGAAUUGCACACUGUAUAUUUCAGUACAUUAUUAUUGGAUUUACGACAAUAUACCAUGAUAUAAUCCACAAUCAGCUUUGCUACCAGACGGGACAUAAUAAACGUAAAUAGAGGUACCUGUCAAAUAUUAUCUUUAUAUUACUUCCACAUAUGAAAACUAGAUAAUACUGCAUGCAUACCAAUGGGCCUCCAAGCAUUUUAAUCACUUAACACAUGUUUAAGAGCAAGAAAACUAUCGCCAUAUGUCCACAAAAACAAUACGACUUAAACAUUGCGAUUGCAACAACCUACCUUAAUCUUAUCUCAUUUGAAAUCAUUACUCUUUAUUGUAUUUUAUGUUUUAUAUUAUUAUAUUAUGGUAUAUUGUUGAAAAUCCGUGGUAAGAAUGUUGACAUUUAAUAUCGGGAACUUUUGAAGAUCGUUUAUGUCAUAAGACCUCUCAUACACGGAAACGCGUGGAAAACUAUAUUGUGACAUGUGUAAUAUUUGUAUAGUAUUCUCAUAGAUUUUGGGGUACCAACAAAUCUAGUUAUGUUGAUUAAGAUUUGUGAAAUGUGUUGUAAAGGCCAUAUAGGUAAAGUUUUCUGGUGUGUUUUCUGUCUGA